rnacentral:snRNA from 1 species
AUCGCUUCUCAGCCGUUUGGCUUAGAUCAUAGUGUGGUAUCUGUUUUUUCAGCUUAAGGUGAAUGCUCACGUUUGCGGCGCGAGAUUCAAAUUUUUUGGUGUUUUUUGCCCUUAACAGGUCAUCAACACUUCUUCAGAUGACGAAAGUUGAGUUCGCGACAACUAGAAGACCUAACACACAUGUUUUAAUUGAUUGUAUCUCAU